UGAGCGGACAGUGGUGGGGGUGCAGUACAAGUUAAAAGAUGAACACCAGGCGAUGUGCUCCUCAGCUGACCGUGAAAACCGGCCAAGUCUCGGCAGAGAGGGCCUCACUGCUCCACGCCUGAAGAAAACCUGGAAAGAAUCAAAAAGAAGCAGAAGAGGGAGCCCGGAUUUACGGCAGACUUCAGUCUAUAGAACUGCUUCGGGAACAUAACCCAAGACGACUGCCACCCCAUGCGACAUGGACACAUUUCACAAGCAACAUGCAGAUGUUCCAGCAGCUUUGAAACACAGGAACACAAUUGCAUCUCUUCACAUGGUUAUAUUUUGUCACUUCGUUCAAGAAAAAUUUCCAGUGUUUCCAGUUAAGCGUUCCCAAAGAAGAAAGAAUAACCUGGGCCCAGACAAGGGGGAAGAGAGAACAGAAACUCCAGCCACUUCAAACUGAAAAUUUUCACUGGUCAAACACAUUUUUUAAAUCAAAUAUAUAAAUUUACGGAUUUUAUGUCAAAGGUAAAGAAUUUGGGUGCAAUUCUAUAAAUGCAGUGAAAAAGUCAGUCAAUAUUAAUUCCGUAAAAACUCAUAAAAGGCUUAUAACUAACAGUGGGAAUUUCGAAGUUAAAUAUUUCUGUUCUGUUGCAAGAAGAGUACAGUAAAAAUCCGACCUCACCCACCCCUCCCCCCUCAAUGGCUCAAGAAGUGCUGCUUCUGCUGUGAGCACCGCUCCCGUUUUAAAUAAAUCAUUUAAAUAUCUGAAUAAAUCACCACUGUCAAGCACGGGCAGCCUGCAUGCCGCAUCUGAAUUCAACCACACCGGCAAGCGCCCUGCGCCAAAUCCCGGCACACAUGUGUGCCGCUGUUGUCCAAACAGGCAGCUGCUGCGAGGCACAGCCUUUUAGCAUGGGAGGGAGUCCAGCCCCCUUCCCCCACACAUAUACCACACACACACACACACACACACACACACACACACACACACACACACACACACACACACAGGUUUGUAAGUAUAUCUUUGUGGGGACUGUCCAUUCAUUUUUAUGGGGGAAUCUCUAAUCCCAACAUGACAACCUUAAACCCCACCCAGCCCUGACCUUAACCAUUAGUAACCAAACUAAAUAUGAGACUUUCAGCUAUUUUAGCUUUUUGAUUGCAUUCACAGAUCUUUGUGGGGACCUGAAAAAUGGUCCCCACAGCAUCAAAAUAAGUUUUUAUCACAUUGUACUUUGUAUGGAACAUUGUGUCUCCACAAUGUAAGAUAAACCUAAUCUACACACACACAAACACACACAAAAUAUUUACAACCCAUGGGAAAUGAGGAAAAAACGUCACAGGCGUGCUGGGUGGGCUAGUCGGAUGGUCUGAUCAUAACAGAGGGACCAAACACAUGAGAACAAACACAUCAGUCUGUCUGUUAUCUAUAUCUACCGUAUUACUGCACAUCUACUCUGUAUGGUACCCUCAUUAAUGCCGCUUUAACACCAAAAGAGGCAGGUUUCAGGCAGGGGCAGGAGAAGGUCCCAGGGCAUUGGGACCCCUUUCCUGAGAGGGUCACUGUGGGGACAAUCAGUCAAAUUGAUGGACAAUGAAUUAAUAUAAAUACUACCAUUAGGGGUGUGAUAUUAGAUCAUGAGCAAUUAAAAAUGUCUCCACGAUCUGCCUUUGCACAGAGUAUCAUUAUAAUCGUUCUAGACUGCUCAUUCUGUCAGUUACAGGUCUACGGCUCAUACACACAUCUUAAGUUGUUUUGUCGGCCAUAUGCGUUUCGACACACCAAUAAACCAGUAAUAGCAAACA